AUCGUAAGAGUCUUCGAUAUGCCCGUUAUUUUUAGUUACGAUAAGGAAGACCCCGGGUCUCAAGCUUAGGGACUGUCCUUUUUGAUACAGAACAGCUAWGAGUAUGGGAGGAGAAUGGUAGAAUUCCCCGGGUGUAGCCGUACAAUUGUAGAUAUUCAGGAGGAAUACYGAUGGCGGAAGACUGCUCAUCUGCCCUAUUACUGACGUUGAUGGUCCGAAAGCCAUGGGGGAGCAAACAGGGAAUAGAUACCCCUGGUAGUCCAUCCCGUAAAUGAARGUCUACUACCCGUUGGGCCCCUUGAGCCUUUAGUGGCGCAGCUAACGCGAUAAGUAGACCGCCUGGGGAGUACGGUCGCAAGACUAAAACUCAAAUGAAUUGACGGGGGCCCGCACAAGCGGUGGAGCAUGUGGUUUAAUUCGAUGCAACGCGAAGAACCUUACCUGGCCUUGACAUACUAAGAACUUUCCAGAGAUGGAUUGGUGCCUUCGGGAACUUAGAUACAGGUGCUGCAUGGCUGUCGUCAGCUCGUGUCGUGAGAUGUUGGGUUAAGUCCCGCAACGAGCGCAACCCUUUUCCUUAUUUGCCAGCGGGUAAUGCCGGGAACUUUAAGGAUACUGCCAGUGACAAACUGGAGGAAGGCGGGGACGACGUCAAGUCAUCAUGGCCCUUACGGCCAGGGCUACACACGUGCUACAAUGGUCGGUACAAAGGGUUGCUACCUCGCGAGAGGAUGCUAAUCUCAAAAAGCCGAUCGUAGUCCGGAUCGCAGUCUGCAACUCGACUGCGUGAAGUCGGAAUCGCUAGUAAUCGCGGAUCAGAAUGCCGCGGUGAAUACGUUCCCGGGCCUUGUACACACCGCCCGUCACACCAUGGGAGUUUGUUGCACCAGAAGUAGGUAGUCUAACCGCAAGGAGGACGCUUACACGCCGGGGGCCCGGGUUUU
rnacentral:rRNA from 1 species